rnacentral:sRNA from 1 species
UAUUCUGCCAUGCGGGGAAGGAUGAGAAGCUUCGACCAAGGUUCGACUCGAGCGCCAGCGAGAGAGCGUUGCCGCAGGCAACGACCCGAAGGGCGAAGCGCGCAGCGCUGAGUAAUCCUUCCCCCACCACCA